rnacentral:rRNA from 1 species
UAGGGAAUCUUCGGCAAUGGGGGCAACCCUGACCGAGCAACGCCGCGUGAGUGAAGAAGGUUUUCGGAUCGUAAAGCUCUGUUGUAAGUCAAGAACGGGUGUGAGAGUGGAAAGUUCACACUGUGACGGUAGCUUACCAGAAAGGGACGGCUAACUACGUGCCAGCAGCCGCGGUAAUACGUAGGUCCCGAGCGUUGUCCGGAUUUAUUGGGCGUAAAGCGAGCGCAGGCGGUUUGAUAAGUCUGAAGUUAAAGGCUGUGGCUCAACCAUAGUUCGCUUUGGAAACUGUCAAACUUGAGUGCAGAAGGGGAGAGUGGAAUUCCAUGUGUAGCGGUGAAAUGCGUAGAUAUAUGGAGGAACACCGGUGGCGAAAGCGGCUCUCUGGUCUGUAACUGACGCUGAGGCUCGAAAGCGUGGGGAGCGAACAGGAUUAGAUACCCUGGUAGUCCACGCCGUAAACGAUGAGUGCUAGGUGUU